rnacentral:rRNA from 1 species
UACGGAGGGGGCUAGCGUUAUUCGGAAUCACUGGGCUUAAAGAGUUCGUAGGCGGCCUAGCAGGUGAGGUGUGAAAGCCCUCGGCUCAACCGGGGAACUGCGCUUCAAACCGCAAGGCUGGAGGGAGAUAGAGGUGAGCGGAACAGAUGGUGGAGCGGUGAAAUGCGUUGAUAUCAUCUGGAACACCGGUGGCGAAAGCGGCUCACUGGAUCUUUUCUGACGCUGAGGAACGAAAGCUAGGGUAGCGAACGGG